GAUGAACGCUGGCGGCAUGCCUAACACAUGCAAGUCGAACGGCAAGACAGUAAGCUCUUGCUCUUACCGGUGGCGGGUGGCGGGCGAGUAAGGCAUGGAUCGCAUUCUACUAUUUCGGGGGGGAUUACGUAGGGCAACUUACGCUACUACCGCAUACGUCGUACGGCUGGAUGCAGUAGUGCUACGUACCUUUCGCGUCUGAAUGAGACGAUGUCGGAUUAGCUAGUUGGCGGGGUAAAGGCACACCAAGGCAACGAUCCGUAGCUGGUCUGAGAGGAUGAUCGGCCACACUGGAACUGAGACACGGUCCAGACUCCUACGGGAGGCAGCAGUGGGGAAUAUUGCACAAUGGGCGAAAGCCUGAUGCAGCAAUACCGCGUGGGUGAAGAAGGCCUUCGGGUUGUAAAGCCCUUUUGUUGGGGAAGAACAAAAGUGUAAGUAUCCGCCGCUGUUUUGACGGUACCCAAAGAGAAAGCACCGGCUAACUUCGUG
rnacentral:rRNA from 1 species